AGACAGCAGCAGCCACGGGAAUACGAAGGGGGCUAGCGUUGUUCGGAUUUACUGGGCGUAAAGCGCACGUAGGCGGAUCGAUCAGUCAGGGGUGAAAUCUCAGAGCUCAACUCUGGGACUGCCUUUGAUACUGUCGAUCUGGAGUAUGGAAGAGGUGAGUGGAAUUCCGAGUGUAGAGGUGAAAUUCGUAGAUAUUCGGAGGAACACCAGUGGCGAAGGCGGCUCACUGGUCCAUUACUGACGCUGAGGUGCGAAAGCGUGGGGAGCAAACAGGAUUAGAUACCCCAGUAGUCCCUGUCUCUUAUAC
rnacentral:rRNA from 1 species